rnacentral:misc_RNA from 1 species
UGUGGGAGGGGGCUUGUUCCCGAUAGCGGUGUGUCAGUGACCUAUAAGUGCCUGACACACCGCUAUCGGGAGCAAGCCCCCUCCCACA